UGGCGGACGGGUGAGUAACGCGCGAACAAUCUGUCCCAGACAGGGGGAUAACAGAUGGAAACAUCUGCUAAUACCGCAUAAGACCACGGCCUCGCAUGGGGAAGUGGUAAAAGGAGCAAUCCGGUUUGGGGUGAGUUCGCGUCUGAUUAGCUUGUUGGCGGGGUAACGGCCCACCAAGGCGACGAUCAGUAGCCGACCUGAGAGGGUGAUCGGCCACACAGGAACUGAGAUACGGUCCAGACUCCUACGGGAGGCAGCAGUGGGGAAUAUUGGGCAAUGGGCGAAAGCCUGACCCAGCAACGCCGCGUGAAGGAAGAGGGUUUUCGGAUUGUAAACUUCUGUCCUCAGGGAAGAAGGAAGUGACGGUACCUGAGGAGGAAGCCCCGGCUAACUACGUGCCAGCAGCCGCGGUAAU
rnacentral:rRNA from 1 species